CUCUGAUUUAGUGCUUCUCUGCUGUUGCUCUUCUAUUUUUUCUACCAGCUUCCAUCUACUUGUUCAACCCCUCAGAGAUUCAUGUAAGAAAUGUCUUUGGUUUCCUAUCUUCCACCUAAUCCAGGACAUUCCUUAACUCCAACGGCACCUUACCUUUCUUGAGUUCUCCUCUUCUCUGUCCCUGUCCCUCUUAAUCCACUGAGUGAACAAAACAUUCUAAGGGAACAAAUGCUUUUGGACACGAUUGGACAACCUCUGAGAGCAGUUGACUGGGCUUUGUUGCCAUUUGUUGGGAGUUCUUAGAAUACAGUGUUUACGAGGUUGCCUGGAAGCAUAAAUGUCACCUCCAAAGGGACAGUGGACCUUAAAGGAGCAUUUCAAGUUCUGUGGACUCAAAGUGAUUUGCAGACAUCCUCAACGGUGAGGCUCAUGGUGACCACUCAGUGCUCUUACCAUGCAUCCAUCCAGAUCCCUCUGUCCCACCGG
rnacentral:lncRNA from 1 species